CCUACGGGAGGCUGCAGUGAGGAAUAUUGGUCAAUGGACGCAAGUCUGAACCAGCCACGCCGCGUGCAGGAAGACGGCUCUCGGAGUUGUAAACUGCUUUUGUACGGAGGUAAACGCAGAUACGCGUAUCUGUCUGAAAGUAUCGUACGAAUACGGAUCGGCUAACUCCGUGCCAGCAGCCGCGGUAAUACGGAGGAUUCAAGCGUUAUCCGGAUUUAUUGGGUUUAAAGGGUGCGUAGGCGGUCGGAUAAGUUAGAGGUGAAAGCCCGGGGCUCAACUUCGGAAUUGCCUCUGAUACUGUUCGGCUAGAGAGUAGUUGCGGUAGGCGGAAUGUGUGGUGUAGCGGUGAAAUGCUUAGAGAUCAUGCAGAACACCGAUUGCGAAGGCAGCUUACCAAGCUACUACUGACGUUGAGGCACGAAAGCGUGGGGAGCAAACAGGAUUAGAUACCCUGGUAGUC
rnacentral:rRNA from 1 species